CACACGAUGCAUCAGCGUGCAACCCGUUGAUUGAAAUUGAACCGUCCUGUUAUCGAAAGAUAGGCAGAAGAUACGAAAUGUGUGACAGCAUGGGAAGUAAAGGCAGACCGUGGUUCCCUUGAGUAUCUUA
rnacentral:sRNA from 12 species